GACGAACCGUGCGAACGUUGUUCGGAAUCACUGGGCUUAAAGGGCGCGUAGGCGGGCGAUCAAGUCCGUGGUGAAAUCCUCCGGCUUAACCGGAGAAGUGCUGCGGAUACUGGUCGCCUCGAGUGGUGUAGGGGCAUGUGGAACUUCCGGUGGAGCGGUGAAAUGCGUAGAUAUCGGAAGGAACGCCGGUGGCGAAAGCGACGUGCUGGACACCUUCUGACGCUGAGGCGCGAAAGCUAGGGGAGCAAACGGG
rnacentral:rRNA from 1 species